CAGCCCUGCUUUGCCCCAGCACUCGGCCAGGUGAAGCAGGGUUAGGCAACCAGCGCACAGUGGGCACAACCAGACUGAUUUUGUAUGAAACGUGGAGGAGCCAGGUGGCUGGGGGAUGAUGAGGAUGGUCAGCAAUCCCAGGGGAUGCAGCUGUGCAUGGUGGACACCAGCUGCUCCAGCUGGACACAAGGAGAUGACCAUCUCAUAGGCACUUUCCCCAAACCAACACUGAUAGUAUGUAUAUAGUCGCUUCAAGCUCGAGAGAAAUCAAUUCAAAUGUAGAGAUUACUCCAAUUAAAAUGAUGAAAAAGCAUCUUUGAACCAAAAAUGCCCGUGUUUCAAUUGUACAUUACCCAUGGCUGGGAGCUUGGGAAGGCCCCAAGCUGCUUACACACAAUGCUAUUGCAUUUACAGGUGAGUUGUGUCUGAAGUGCAGCAGGGGUUCGUAAAGGGAGCACUGGCGUUUAACCAGCUUUUGAGACUUAAUCAUCUUCUAAAACUGAGUGUGAUAGGUUUUCCUUGGUUCUUAACUCUUUAAUCAAAAGUCCUUUGUAGUGCACUGUGUGGGGGGUGCAUUCAUUUAUGAACACAGCAGUUACAUUGAUGUAAACCAAGUGCUGGAGCACAGGCUGCCCUCCCUCCUUCCUUCCACUGAAGCUUUGCUCGGGAGCUCAAGUUACUCACAAUGUGAUUCAUAGCAGGUAAAACACGUUAUGCAUUCAUUUUUAAUCAAGUUAUUUCUUCACAUAAAUAAGCUGCUGUGACUAAACAUUAGGGAAGCACUAAAAAUGCAAAGCUGCAAAGAAAACUGCUGAGAAUCAUUAUGACACUAGGCCAUACCUAUAUUAUUUGCCAUCCUCCUUCACUUUAAUCACUGCUUCUUUUUCUGCCUUAUCUUUAAGCUAGAAGUCCUUGGGCAGACUGUGCCUCACUGUUUUACCUCUCGGCAUUUGGUUCCCUACUCCUCCACCCCAGAAACUUAUUGCUGGCACUAGUGAUGAGUAGCCAAGCACCGAGUCACUUAAACCCUAGUCAUGAUCACUGCUGUUGGUUGCAUUUUCAGCUGAGUCCAUCCUCUGACUCUGUUGCUUCUGUGGCUACAGAAAUGGUAAUGCUGGCAACUUGGAGGGCCAAGUGCCCAGGAGGCAGAGGAGGGGCCAGGGGCAAACCUCAUCUGUCAGCAGCCUGUUUAUUCAGAUUAAAGUGUCUGCAGCAACAGCCCUAGAAGUCUCCAGGACUCGCUGAGAGCCUUCUAGCAACGGAGGACACCCCCAGAGAUUUGCACCACUGUACAGAAUGGACUCCCACAGAGAGAGUAUCAGUGAGUGCUCAGCCUCUCAGAGGACUUGUGGUCCUCAGUGUCACCAAGGUCUGUGAGAGUGAAUAACACUGUGAGAGUGCCAGGAGGUACCCAGGGGACCAAGACAUAACUGGCUUCAAGUGGAACCACUUGCACGUUGUGAUGAGAAUCCAUUUAGUUCCUUGCACAACAUACUUUAGAUUUCUCCCUUUCUUUGGGGAGGUGGGGGAGGGUGAAAAGCCAUCGAGCUCUGGUUCCUUAUGCAGAUUACCCCUAAGGAGGUGAUAAGCAAUCAUCCAGGCUCCAUAUGAAAUGUGAUUAGAUGUUCCUGAAAGUGGAUACAUCAUUUACAUUUCGUCUGGUUGCUAUAAAAAACCCCUCUAUUGAUGCUGCAGCCAUCCACCCCAAUGCUGCCUGCUGCACUGCUCACCAGUUCCCCUCCUGCAGCCUGACAUCCCCACUCUGCUCUGUGAUUUUGGGGCCAAGCAGUGCUUUUACAGUUCUAGCUCUUGCCCUGUUUCCACUUAAUUGCCCAAGCAAGAUGUGAAAAUCCAGGUCAAUGGCAGCAGCAACUGUCAGGGACUGAGACAGAUGGCUUGGGCUCCUCUCAGGUGUGUUAGUGGAGCACUAACCCUGAUGGGUUAAGCCUUGUGCUUCCUUUUCUUUCCCUGCAUUUCCACAGCUGCCAGCACCUUGAGGAAAUGACAUUUUUCAGUUGAAUGGAGCACCUAAAAUGCAGAAGCUGCAAAGAGCAAAAUGUGUCCUGGCUGUUUGUGUGAGCUGGGAAAAGCUGGCUUGAGGUUCUGUCCUGGGGAGAUCUGGUGUGUGUAUCUUUGCGGUCCCAUCCCAGUGUCCCAGGAAAAUGGUGUUCAUGUCCUUUUCCAGCCACCUGGCCACUGUGUGGACUUCAGAAGCAAUAUCUGCCCCUGUUCAGGGAGGCAUUCACUGCAGGAGUACUACAGUGCUUUCACUGCAUUCCUCCUCCCUGCCCAAACCUCCUCCAAAAUCACCUCCUGCUGAAGCAGCCCCUUCUGCCCCAGCCAGCUGCCCCACGAGCUCUGCUCCUGCCACAGCAGGGACAUACCCUGGUGGCACUCCUCUCCCUCAGGCUGAGGAGGGCACCUAGUGAGGUCUGAGUGCCCUGUGAAGGGCUUUUAAAAACACAUCUAAAUAUAACUGAAGGUUACUGGAUGGCUUUACAGUCAAUUAACGUUGUUCAUAACUCAAUACACUUUUGGGACUUCGUUGAAUAAUUUAAGCCUGAUGGAUUUUGUAGCACAAAGGGCCAUGGUUGCCAUUAUUUUCCUUAGUUGAUCCAGAUUAAGUGUUUCUGUAAGUCAGUAUUUCCAUGGGUGUAGCCUUCCCUUGCUGGCGGGAGAAGGGUUACCUGCACGACGGUUCCAGCAUGUUUGUGGAGUGCUCACACUUGCCAUGCAUGCAGAAGCCGUUGUAAUGCUCUGGACAAGGGAUGUAGAUCCCUCUUGCACUUUCUUCCAGUUUAUUUGCAUUCUCUGUGAACACAGGUGAAGGGGAACGUUAACCUGACCAUGUAGGAUAAGGUAAAGUGACGGAAAGAACUCAACAGAUGAAAGAAAGGAAAACCAGAGAGCAAGAUGUGAAAGAUGUUGUUCAUGGGAAGCAAGGGUUUGCCCCUUCAGACAGGUUGGCUGAUUUUGCCCCUUCAAACAAGUUGGUGAGAUUUGCAAGGGUUUAUCUCAGUCUUUUAUAAUUCCUGUCAAGUUAAAGCAAAUAACGUGACUAUUCAAAAUCUGAUGACAGAAUAGCACCUGCAAAAUACCCGAUUAUUUCUGUUUUACUUUAUAGACUGUCCCCUCAAACUGAGACAAGGUUGGGAGAGAGACUCCGGACAUUUGCAUGUAAUAUACAUUCUGCAUUUCUUAAUUCAACAGAACAUAUACAGAAAGACAAUUUUAUGGCUGAAGUAGACUGAGACUCCAGAGCUGAAGUUUAUCAUCAGUGCUGCACACCCAUGCCCCGAAGUCCACUGGCCUCCUUCACAUCCCACAGCAUCCAGCACUUCAAACUAGUUUGGCAUUCUGAGCCUACUUCUGCAGCAGUUAAAGAGUCACUGAGACUGCAAAUCCAGGGAAAUCCCUUCAUGCAGCCAGGAAAAUGAAGGCUUAAUUUAGUUUUGAAACAGGUAUGUGCUCAACUUCACAGGCUGAAACACAAGAGUGUUACCACCACGAACUCACAUGAAUUUCGUAGGCCACCAAGGUAUUAAUUAACCUGGGUCGCUUUGGCAAAUUCUUCCAUUUAACCAAUACUUAUGAUAUCUCAAAUGCUAACACUCCUUUUUCUGUCAUAGUGUCUUCUAGCCAUGAUUAAUUAAGAACAGAAGAAUAAAUCUCAUGAUGGAUGUCUGAGGAAAUGUAGCUUUCACGGAAAUAAGUUGAAGCAUUUUUAUCUUCCAAAAGAAGUCCCCAAGUGUUAUAAAACAAUUGCAAUUUGUGUUCUGCCUCCAAGCCAGUCAUGCCAGCAGCAGGCAUGCUUAGGUAUUAUCCCACCUCUGGGAAACGUUUGUGCAGCAGAUCCAAGAUUCAGAUUUUCAUAAUGAAUUUCUUUUCUGUUGCUGCUGUCCAAGGAGAGUUGUAAGAGUCUCUAACCACUUGCACUAAUAAAGUUGGUUAUAUUGUCCUUAUGUGAAAACAGGCAAGGAUCAGCUCCCAGCAAAUGAGAAUGACAGGCAACCUCUGUGUCCCUGCUGACAGCAUUAGCUUCUCUUUCACCCUUAGGAUUUUCAGGACCUCUGCACUCUGGACCAUUAUUGCAUCUUUUUGAAUGCACAUACACUGAACACAAGCCCGUGUGCCUCUCCCUGUUCCCUGAUCACACUGGGAUACCUGUGCAAGGCUGGUGGAGGACCAUGCAGUGCAGGGGCAUGGGUGCACUCUGCCUGAUGGGUUCUGGGUGUGCUUGACCUCUGCUAUGGCCCACAUUCAAAUCUAUUUCUGUCCAGGAAACUGCAGCAAGAAGUAUGGGAUCCUUAUUAAUACACAUUUUUUUCCUGUGGUGGAAAACAUAAUGCCAUUUCCCUCAAAUCCUCCAUUACCAGAGGAAGUUUGCUUCCCCUCUGAAGAACAGGAGACUGCCCUGUGUGCACAUGCACAUGUGUGUGUAUGUCUGAUUGUUCCUUUUCUGGUAUUGAGGUACCUCUUACAUGUCUGUGCACCACUACUCAGUGCAAGAAUCCCUCCUCUCUCAGCAGCAGUGUAAUUAAAACAGUAUAAAAUCCUUUGGUUUAAUUGUUGGGGUUUUUUUAAAGGCUCACUUCAAGAUGGGGGGAAAUUGUAACUUUCAGGACAGACUCACCUGGGACUAGAAAGUGGGACCAGGACCUAUGUGGAUGUGCAGAUGCCCUCACUGUGUGUAGGCUGUAGGGCUGGCAAUCAUGUGGGCAGAAACCAUUCCUUCUUUAACAAGGUCUCUGGCACACUUUAAAGUAAAUCUAGGAUCAUGCAGAACUUGUAAUUACACCUCUAAGCAUAAUGUUGUGACGGAAAAUGCUUUACUGAAUCUAAAAUGAGAUGGCCCAAGCUUUGCUAGCAUUUGUAGGAUAAACACUUCAUAGGGUAAACACUUCUUACAGGAACACUUGUCACCUGUCUCAGAAAAGCCCACAAAACUUAGACACAAAUUAUCUGUAUCUCAUUUUGACUGAUGACUCCUCCAACAGAGUCAGGGAUUUAUGUAAAGGCAGAGAGGGGGGAAAACCACAUUUUUAGUUUGAUCUGCCAUCUAGGUUAAUUGAAAUACAGACUACAAUAAAAACAUCAUUUCCUUCAGACUGAGAAAUUUGCACUCCCAUUUGCACAUUCUGAACACACACACGCGCACACACACACACACACACACACACACACACACAAUUUCCCUGCCUCAAAACAGGUUAUUUUUCUCACUACAAAAUCCAUUAUUUUCAGAGCCAGUGUAGAGAACCAAACACCCAGGCAUGCUCUAAAAGUCCCUUGAUGUUGAAAAUGACUGCUCCCUUUCUGGAAGAACCUGAGAACUUUUCAGCAAUCCAGCUGUUGAUGAGAUACCAACUCUUAUGAAUGCAUCAUAGGGUUUUUAUCACCAUGAACAGGAACUAUAAACUGAUUCUAAAAAGAGAGGAUAUAAAUAAAAAUCAUGCUGAGGUUAUGAAGCAAACAAGCACUGUACAUAUCUUAAAAAAUUAAACCUAAAUUAAGACUUCAACCCUUAUAAAAACUUUGGAUUAUUUAUAAAUUCAGUAUCAGAUGCAAUUUGUACUAGAAAAACUACAGUAUCACUACACUAAGGAGCCCCUCUACCACACCAACCUCACACCUACAGAGAGCUAAGCUAAAUACAAACCCACUUUUUUCCAAGCACAGCAGAUUUGUAUGCAUAAAGCAAUGACACAGAUCAAAUUCAAAGUUACUCAGGUUUCAGUAAUGUUAAAUUCAGUAGCUGCUCUUCACACACUACACUUGCUGCAUUGUUAUUGGCAACAAUGUGGGCAAGUUUUAUUUCUGCCAGAAGGACAGACUUGUACCUUUUUGUGAUGGACAGGAUUUGAAGCAGAAGCCAGCUAUAAAGACCAGAGGUAAAAACUGGGCUGACUGGAUCAGUUUCUCCUGUCUCUGGACAAAAGAAAUUCCUGCCACAUUUCUCAAAAUGCUUGUCGUUUUUAUUUCAAAAAAAGAAAUACAUCGUCCCCCUCCAGAUCAAUUGUAUUCAAGAAUCUUUUUCUUGAAGCACUUUUGUGAUCUAAAAAGUCACUCUGAUGAAGCCAACAUCUUUUGCAUUUCUGCAGCAUUUUUUUCAUCUUUAGCCUAACAUGACAUUUCAUAUUGUUCACAUCCCUUGUUAGUGCCAGCCCAUGACAUGAUAGCCUAUCAAAUAAGACACACUAGUCAAAACACGUUAUUUUGAAGUGUGUGGAGGCCAGAUGCUACUUUGUGUAGCUUGAAAGAGCUUAUCAUCUCUCUGACUGGAGAAGUCUCCCAGCUGAACCCUUGCUCUCCAGCCUCUCUGUGGAUGGCAGGGAGAUGAUGAGCUAUUUCUCUGGGAUAAACUGGAUCCUAAAAAGAUACCCAGUGUGGCUGACCACCCACUCAGUGAUCUUGCUUUCCCUGAUGGAUUGUCUUCUGAAAUGUUAAAUAAAUUAUUUAAAGCUA